AGGAAUAUUGGUCAAUGGGCGCGAGCCUGAACCAGCCAAGUAGCGUGAAGGAUGAAGGUCCUACGGAUUGUAAACUUCUUUUAUAAGGGAAUAAAGUCACCCACGUGUGGGUGUUUGUAUGUACCUUAUGAAUAAGCAUCGGCUAACUCCGUGCCAGCAGCCGCGGUAAUACGGAGGAUGCGAGCGUUAUCCGGAUUUAUUGGGUUUAAAGGGAGCGUAGACGGGUCGUUAAGUCAGCUGUGAAAGUUUGGGGCUCAACCUUAAAAUUGCAGUUGAUACUGGCGUCCUUGAGUACGGUUGAGGCAGGCGGAAUUCGUGGUGUAGCGGUGAAAUGCUUAGAUAUCACGAAGAACCCCGAUUGCGAAGGCAGCCUGCUAAACCGCCACUGACGUUGAGGCUCGAAAGUGUGGGUAUCAAACAGGAUUAGAUACCCUGGUAGUCCACACGGUAAACGAUGGAUACUCGCUGUUGGCGAUAGACUGCAAGCGGCUUAGCGAAAGCGUUAAGUAUCCCACCUGGGGAGUACGCCGGCAACGGUGAAACUCAAAGGAAUUGACGGGGGCCCGCACAAGCGGAGGAACAUGUGGUUUAAUUCGAUGAUACGCGAGGAACCUUACCCGGGCUUGAAUUGCAGACGAAUUGCUUGGAAACAGGCAAGCCGCAAGGCGUCUGUGAAGGUGCUGCAUGGUUGUCGUCAGCUCGUGCCGUGAGGUGUCGGCUUAAGUGCCAUAACGAGCGCAACCCUCGUGUCCAGUUACUAGCAGGUUAUGCUGAGGACUCUGGACAGACUGCCAUCGUAAGAUGUGAGGAAGGUGGGGAUGACGUCAAAUCAGCACGGCCCUUACGUCCGGGGCUACACACGUGUUACAAUGGGGGGUACAGCAGGCAGCUACCGGGCGACCGGAUGCCAAUCCCGAAAGCCUCUCUCAGUUCGGACUGGAGUCUGCAACCCGACUCCACGAAGCUGGAUUCGCUAGUAAUCGCGCAUCAGCCACGGCGCGGUGAAUACGUUCCCG
rnacentral:rRNA from 1 species